ensembl:rRNA 5S_rRNA 5S ribosomal RNA
GUCUAUGACCAUACCAUCGUGAACAUGCCCAGUCUCAUCUGAUCUCAGAAGCUAAGCAGGGUCAGGCCUGGUUAGUAGUACUUGAAUAGGAGAGUUCAAGUCAUUUGGAUU